GCUCUCUUGGGCAGCACAUAUACUACAAUUAGAACAACACAGAGAAGAUGAGCAUGGCCCUUGUGCAAGGAUGACCAUGCAAAUUAGUGAAGCAUUCCCUAUUUCU
ensembl:snRNA U6 U6 spliceosomal RNA